GUGUUCUCCAGGAGCACCAGGCAAAAAGGCAGACGAGGACUUCUCAGGGGCCUCUGGGGUAAUCUUUGCUCAAAGCUGCACAACAAAGACCUGCCAGGAAUGAUAUUUCAGUUCUAUAAAAGCCUUAAACGAAGCUACUGCUUUUCUACUUCCCCCAGACACUCCUUUUCACAGGCAGCUGAAAGGUCCUCCACAAGAAAACCCAAAUAUCUGCAGGAGCUCACAAAGAACAAUCUUCCCUGAUGCUUCACCUCGUAUGCAUUUGAAGAACUCAAGAUUUGCUGUGAUGGAACUUCUCGAAGAGAAAUAACAACUGGACUUCUGAGUUGCUUCUUGCUCUGAAGUGGUUCUUGUUCUUUCCUGGAGAUUUACCCAAACCCUUCAGUUGCAGAGGUUAAAAAUAUUAAAUGGAAGUGGAAACCCCUGCCAAUCCCAACAAUUUGGUUCUUAAGGGAAACACUAUUUCCAAUUUGGGUUCAAGCUUUUAUAAGUUCAGUUUGGGCUUUAAGGCAACUCUGAUCACUUUGUAACUGAAUCUUUUACCAAAACUAUUUGGGAUACUCAAGUGCUGACAUUUUUAAAUAGUUUCUCUAUAAUGACCAUCUUGUUUGUCAUUAAUUACCUGAAUUGCUGUUUCUGGCCAUUCACCUUCAAGCCUUUCCAAGCAUUAAACUCCUCCAUCUAUUGAUUAAUGUUAUUAAUUAUCCCAUAACCUUGUAGAUGGGUGUAAUUUCAUCAGAGUAAUGUGAAUCACCAGAGAGAGCUGCAGGGCUGGAUUCCACAUCACCAGAGUGUAAUUACAUCACUUAUUCUCCUUCCUGGUGCGUGGCUUGCUCAAACAGAGGUGCCAAGGCCUGACCUGGCACCCAGGGUCUGGUUUGGGUGGCAGAAUGGUUGGCUGAGUGAAAUUUGCACAGCAAAAUAAAUUUAUCUGAGGCCAGAAAUGGUGAUUGGAAUACCCAAAGUUUGAGCAUCAGGGCAUCAGGAAGCAAAUCUGGAUUCUGCCAUUACAUUUGCUAUCAUGA